rnacentral:rRNA from 1 species
GGGUUGUGAGGUUAAGCGACUAAGCGUACACGGUGGAUGCCCUGGCAGUCAGAGGCGAUGAAGGACGUGCUAAUCUGCGAUAAGCGCCGGUAAGGUGAUAUGAACCGUUAUAACCGGCGAUUUCCGAAUGGGGAAACCCAGUGUGACUCGUCACACUAUCAUUAACUGAAUCCAUAGGUUAAUGAGGCGAACCGGGGGAACUGAAACAUCUAAGUACCCCGAGGAAAAGAAAUCAACCGAGAUUCCCCCAGUAGCGGCGAGCGAACGGGGAGGAGCCCAGAGCCUGAAUCAGCAUGUGUGUUAGUGGAAGCGUCUGGAAAGGCGCGCGAUACAGGGUGACAGCCCCGUACACAAAAGCGCAUGUGCUGUGAGCUCGAUGAGUAGGGCGGGACACGUGGUAUCCUGUCUGAAUAUGGGGGGACCAUCCUCCAAGGCUAAAUACUCCUGACUGACCGAUAGUGAACCAGUACCGUGAGGGAAAGGCGAAAAGAACCCCGGCGAGGGGAGUGAAAAAGAACCUGAAACCGUGUACGUACAAGCAGUGGGAGCCCCACCACCAAAGCAUUCUAUGGUGUUGAAGGCCCUGCAAAGCAGCAUCGCGGUGGCGGAGCGUCGUUUGCGACGCCCAACACACAAAACAAGCGGUGAGUGCUUUGGGGUGGGGUGACUGCGUACCUUUUGUAUAAUGGGUCAGCGACUUAUAUUCUGUAGCAAGGUUAACCGAAUAGGGGAGCCGGAGGGAAACCGAGUCUUAAUUGGGCGUUAAGUUGCAGGGUAUAGACCCGAAACCCGGUGAUCUAGCCAUGGGCAGGUUGAAGGUUGGGUAACACUAACUGGAGGACCGAACCGACUAAUGUUGAAAAAUUAGCGGAUGACCUGUGGCUGGGGGUGAAAGGCCAAUCAAACCGGGAGAUAGCUGGUUCUCCCCGAAAGCUAUUUAGGUAGCGCCUCGUGAAUUCAUCUCCGGGGGUAGAGCACUGUUUCGGCUAGGGGGCCAUCCCGGCUUACCAACCCGAUGCAAACUGCGAAUACUGGAGAAUGUUAUCACGGGAGACACACGGCGGGUGCUAACGUCCGUCGUGAAGAGGGAAACAACCCAGACCGCCAGCUAAGGUCCCAAAGUCAUGGUUAAGUGGGAAACGAUGUGGGAAGGCCCAGACAGCCAGGAUGUUGGCUUAGAAGCAGCCAUCAUUUAAAGAAAGCGUAAUAGCUCACUGGUCGAGUCGGCCUGCGCGGAAGAUGUAACGGGGCUAAACCAUGCACCGAAGCUGCGGCAGCGACACUGUGUGUUGUUGGGUAGGGGAGCGUUCUGUAAGCCUGUGAAGGUGGCCUGUGAGGGUUGCUGGAGGUAUCAGAAGUGCGAAUGCUGACAUAAGUAACGAUAAAGCGGGUGAAAAGCCCGCUCGCCGGAAGACCAAGGGUUCCUGUCCAACGUUAAUCGGGGCAGGGUGAGUCGACCCCUAAGGCGAGGCCGAAAGGCGUAGUCGAUGGGAAACGGGUUAAUAUUCCCGUACUUGGUGUUACUGCGAAGGGGGGACGGAGAAGGCUAUGUUGGCCGGGCGACGGUUGUCCCGGUUUAAGCGUGUAGGUGUGUGUUCCAGGUAAAUCCGGUUCACUUUAACACUGAGGCGUGACGACGAGGCACUACGGUGCUGAAGCAACAAAUGCCCUGCUUCCAGGAAAAGCCUCUAAGCAUCAGGUAACAUCAAAUCGUACCCCAAACCGACACAGGUGGUCAGGUAGAGAAUACCAAGGCGCUUGAGAGAACUCGGGUGAAGGAACUAGGCAAAAUGGUGCCGUAACUUCGGGAGAAGGCACGCUGACACGUAGGUGAAGUGAUUUACUCAUGGAGCUGAAGUCAGUCGAAGAUACCAGCUGGCUGCAACUGUUUAUUAAAAACACAGCACUGUGCAAACACGAAAGUGGACGUAUACGGUGUGACGCCUGCCCGGUGCCGGAAGGUUAAUUGAUGGGGUCAGCGCAAGCGAAGCUCCUGAUCGAAGCCCCGGUAAACGGCGGCCGUAACUAUAACGGUCCUAAGGUAGCGAAAUUCCUUGUCGGGUAAGUUCCGACCUGCACGAAUGGCGUAAUGAUGGCCAGGCUGUCUCCACCCGAGACUCAGUGAAAUUGAACUCGCUGUGAAGAUGCAGUGUACCCGCGGCAAGACGGAAAGACCCCGUGAACCUUUACUAUAGCUUGACACUGAACAUUGAGCCUUGAUGUGUAGGAUAGGUGGGAGGCUUUGAAGUGUGGACGCCAGUCUGCAUGGAGCCGACCUUGAAAUACCACCCUUUAAUGUUUGAUGUUCUAACGUGGACCCGUAAUCCGGGUUGCGGACAGUGUCUGGUGGGUAGUUUGACUGGGGCGGUCUCCUCCUAAAGAGUAACGGAGGAGCACGAAGGUUGGCUAAUCCUGGUCGGACAUCAGGAGGUUAGUGCAAUGGCAUAAGCCAGCUUGACUGCGAGCGUGACGGCGCGAGCAGGUGCGAAAGCAGGUCAUAGUGAUCCGGUGGUUCUGAAUGGAAGGGCCAUCGCUCAACGGAUAAAAGGUACUCCGGGGAUAACAGGCUGAUACCGCCCAAGAGUUCAUAUCGACGGCGGUGUUUGGCACCUCGAUGUCGGCUCAUCACAUCCUGGGGCUGAAGUAGGUCCCAAGGGUAUGGCUGUUCGCCAUUUAAAGUGGUACGCGAGCUGGGUUUAGAACGUCGUGAGACAGUUCGGUCCCUAUCUGCCGUGGGCGCUGGAGAACUGAGGGGGGCUGCUCCUAGUACGAGAGGACCGGAGUGGACGCAUCACUGGUGUUCGGGUUGUCAUGCCAAUGGCACUGCCCGGUAGCUAAAUGCGGAAGAGAUAAGUGCUGAAAGCAUCUAAGCACGAAACUUGCCCCGAGAUGAGUUCUCCCUGAGACUUUAGGUCUCCUGAAGGAACGUUGAAGACGACGACGUUGAUAGGCCGGGUGUGUAAGCGCAGCGAUGCGUUGAGCUAACCGGUACUAAUGAACCGUGAGGCUUAACCUUACAACGCCGAAGCUGUU